CAGUCGCCGCGGUAAUACGAAGGGUGCAAGCGUUACUCGGAAUUACUGGGCGUAAAGCGUGCGUAGGUGGUGGUUUAAGUCCGUUGUGAAAGCCCUGGGCUCAACCUGGGAAUUGCAGUGGAUACUGGGUCACUAGAGUGUGGUAGAGGAUAGUGGAAUUUCCGGUGUAGCAGUGAAAUGCGUAGAGAUCGGAAGGAACAUCUGUGGCGAAGGCGACUAUCUGGGCCAACACUGACACUGAGGCACGAAAGCGUGGGGAGCAAACAGGAUUAGAUACCCCAGUAGUCCCUGUCUCUUUACA
rnacentral:rRNA from 1 species